rnacentral:lncRNA from 1 species
AGCGCAAUUAUGGUGGCGGGUGUCCCUAGACCAGCCGGUGCUUGCCACGUGUCCCGCGUAUCCCACUCGCCGCUAUCGAGGAUUGACCGUUCGCAAAUUUCUAUGGCACGACGCUUGGGGUCACGUCUCAGUGGGAGUUUCGAAAAGACUCUUUGGGUCGCCAUAAUCGGAAAAAGGACUCUGGCAUGCAUGCAUUAAAUGCCAACA